CAGCAACAGAUUGUCCUAAUACCAAUAUAUGAGAACCUAGAACUGACCAGAAGGGAGGAUGUGGCUCAGUGGUUAAGGACUUCUGGGUUCAAUCCCUAGGAACUAUAUAUAUAUAUAUUGGGGGGGGGGCACAAUAGACAAGCAAAUUGGUCAGUAUGGGCCAUUAUUUAUGGUAAAAAUAUAUUCAGACUUCUUACUCUAAAGUAAGAAAAAUAAUAGUUUUUUCAAUCUAUAAAAUAUAGUAUAUGGCUGUUACACGUGGUAAAUGCUAUGGAAAUAUGCAAAUAUGCAAGAGUUAACAGAAUAAGAGGUAUCAGGAGUGUCCAGACAAGGUAUAAAGGCCAACCAGGUGGGUCAGUGUGGACAGCAUUUAAGAUAAGAUUUGAGCAUAAUGUACAGUGGAAGGAAGUGAGAGACUUAGCCAAGCUGGUAUCCAGGAAAAGGGUGUGGCACCCAGAAGGAAGGGGAGAGCAGAGCAGGAGCUUGCUGGGCAUGCUGAAGGGACCUCAGGAGGCCAGUAUGCAUGGCUGGGUAUUAUCCAGAGCUCGGCCCUUGUCCCUGGUGCUCAUCUAAUAACAAGGACAUAGUUUUAAGAAAAGGGAAAAUAAGUUUUAUUGCUUUCCUAGCAAAGGAGACACACAGGGAGUCCUGUCCCAGAGGCUGAGAUUCUGUCCAUCACCCGGAGCAGGGGGUUUUGAAGUGGCAAUUCAAAGCCCAGAAUCCCCACACUGUGUGGAGUCUGACUUGGUUCCUGCAAUAGGUGUGUGCUCAAGGACAGAUCACUCUGCCUAGGAUGGGGAAGAAAGAUAAUCUGUUUUCCCCAAGGUUAGGGAGGGGGAGAGAGAGGAAGAGAAAGAAACAUGUCUAUUUUAAAAUAAGUCUCAGUGGCAGAGCUGCAAGGGCUCCGUCCAAAGCACAAGUGGACACAGUUCCAGGGCAAAUGAUGGGGAGGAAAAGGAAAUGAGGUCAAAGGAGAGGGGUGCCAGAACACAUGGGGCAGUGCUUCUCAAACUGAAAUCCCAGCACAAGGCCCAGCUUUUCACCUUCACAUGCUUCCAGGUGAUCUGAGGGAUAGUUCUAAAUUAACAUACAUGUGAAUCUCUCUCAAUGCUGAAGUAUUUCAGAAGAGAUAUAUAAACAAUGGAACAGGAUGUUUGCCCCAAAUCUGUCUCCUUUCUGGAGCAAGAUUUGAAGUUGAGAAGCAAUUUACACUUCAAAGGGUGCUGGCACCUGGAAGGUUUGCAUCAGAAAUCGGUACUUCAGGGACAGCUAGUAUAAGCACUUCAGCUAUCUCUUAGGUCAAUAUUAGUGUCUUAAAGAUGUUAAAGUGAAUUUUCAUUCCCUCUGCUUUCUGAUUGUCAUGUCUGAACAGCCUUCCUCCUCCAUACCCCUCCACCAUGACGUGCCUCACCUCGACCCCGAUCUAUGGAAUCAGCUGACCAUGCACUGAACCUCCGAAACCAGUAAUAUAAAUAAAUGUGUUUAAAGAAUUUAUCAGAAGACCUAUGUUUUACUGAACAGACAGAUAAGGAUGGUGGGAACAUGAGAUUAAGAGAAUAAUUCUCUAUAAUGGCCCACUGUGCUGACCCCUACACGCUUCAUUGACUAAGAAGCAAUUUACCUUCAGCCCUGACCAGCCUAAAUGGAAUAUCAUAUUCCUCAGCAAACUACCUAUUCUCUGUGGGAGAAAUGCAGGCCCAUAAUAAUGUUGAUAAGAGGAACCUAGGUUACCCAGAAGGAGGAGACUUUUGUAACAGAUCCUGAACUCUGGGAGAUAAGGAUAGUUUCUCCUAACUAUAACUUCUGUAAGAAUGUAUGGUUAAGAAUCCAAUUAUGGGCCAAGUGACCUAAAUUGCCAUGACAGCGGGGACUUAAAAGUCUGAUGUCACUCUGCUGUCAGUCAAAAGUCAAGAGAUAGACUUGGGUGGGACUUUGAAACUUCUUUGGGACCCCCAAUAAAACUGGAGGGUGGGAGAGUCACAUUGUCCCUCUCCUCUCUGAGUGGUCUCACCCUCUCCCUUUAGAGUGUCCCCUUCCCUUUUCCUCUCCCUUCAAUAAACUCAUGCCUAUUACUCUGAGAGACAUAUCUGAAAUCCUUAUGACUUUUGAUCGCAAGAAUUGGGGUUUGGAGAGGGGGUCUUUGCAGUCCUCGGUUUCUUAGAAUGCCCCAGCUUCUUAACACAAGGAGAAACCACCCAGCUGAAACUCGGAAACUGGCAUGGGAUCUCGAUAAAGGCAACUGAAUCCAAUGGAGCUGAGAUGUUUAGACCUGAGAAGGUAAAUAAUAUCACAAGUUGUCAGACUCCAGAACCGUGCAGAGGAGAGCAGAGCACUCAGUGGAUCAGGAAGAUGAGCUCCUCUGAAGUAAAACAGGAAGGCUAAGAAGGAGCCACUCCUCAUGGCCAUGCAUCUUGACAAAGGCAGGUCAGGGUGCAGGAGGCACACCUGCUUGAAGAAGACCAGCUCUUGACUAUUGUGCUGCCCUAGUAAGGCUUCAUGAGUUGGUGAUGUCUCCAGAGUUCCC
rnacentral:lncRNA from 1 species